GGAAAUCAUUUCAUCUCUGCUCUGAUUUGGGGGCGGGAGUGAGAUGCCAACGUUCACCAGACCCGGGUGGCUUUGGUGUAGAUCAAAGCCCAAAGCCUUUAAUUAUUGGCCCAGAGGAAGACUAUGACCCGGGUUAUUUCAACAACGAGAGUGACAUCAUAUUCCAGGAUCUGGAGAAACUGAAGUCUCGGCCAGCUCACCUGGGGGUUUUUCUACGUUACAUCUUCUCUCAGGCGGACCCCAGUCCACUGCUUUUUUACCUGUGUGCAGAAGUUUAUCAGCAGACAAGCCCCAAGGAUUCCCGAAGCUUGGGGAAAGACAUCUGGAAUAUUUUCCUGGAGAAAAAUGCGCCUCUGAGAGUGAAGAUCCCUGAGAUGCUACAGGCUGAAAUUGACUCGCGCCUGCGGAACAGCGAGGAUGCCCGUGGUGUUCUCUGUGAAGCUCAAGAGGCAGCCAUGCCUGAGAUCCAAGAGCAGAUCCACGACUACAGAACGAAGCGCACUCUGGGGCUGGGCAGCCUGUAUGGUGAAAAUGACCUGCUGGACCUGGAUGGGGACCCUCUCCGAGAGCGCCAAGUGGCUGAGAAGCAGCUGGCUGCCCUUGGAGAUAUUUUGUCCAAGUAUGAGGAAGACAGGAGCGCCCCCAUGGACUUCGCCCUCAAUACCUACAUGAGCCAUGCUGGGAUCCGUCUUCGAGAGGCACGACCUUCCAACACAACUGAAAAGGCCCAGUCUGCUCCUGACAAGGACAAGUGGCUACCGUUCUUCCCUAAGACCAAGAAGAGCAGCAAUUCCAAGAAAGAAAAGGAUGCCUUGGAGGACAAGAAGCGAAACCCUAUCCUCAAAUACAUUGGGAAGC
rnacentral:sRNA from 1 species